rnacentral:rRNA from 1 species
GAAGGUGGCCUGUGAGGGUUGCUGGAGGUAUCAGAAGUGCGAAUGCUGACAUAAGUAACGAUAAAGCGGGUGAAAAGCCCGCUCGCCGGAAGACCAAGGGUUCCUGUCCAACGUUAAUCGGGGCAGGGUGAGUCGACCCCUAAGGCGAGGCCGAAAGGCGUAGUCGAUGGGAAACGGGUUAAUAUUCCCGUACUUGGUGUUACUGCGAAGGGGGGACGGAGAAGGCUAUGUUGGCCGGGCGACGGUUGUCCCGGUUUAACCGCGC